rnacentral:rRNA from 1 species
GACGAACGCUGGCGGCGUGCUUAACACAUGCAAGUCGAACGGAAAGGCCCUGCUUUUGUGGGGUGCUCGAGUGGCGAACGGGUGAGUAACACGUGAGUAACCUGCCCUUGACUUUGGGAUAACUUCAGGAAACUGGGGCUAAUACCGGAUAGGAGCUCCUGCUGCAUGGUGGGGGUUGGAAAGUUUCGGCGGUUGGGGAUGGACUCGCGGCUUAUCAGCUUGUUGGUGGGGUAGUGGCUUACCAAGGCUUUGACGGGUAGCCGGCCUGAGAGGGUGACCGGCCACGUUGGGACUGAGAUGCGGCCCAGACUCCUACGGGAGGCAGCAGUGGGGAAUAUUGCACAAUGGGCGGAAGCCUGAUGCAGCAACGCCGCGUGCGGUAUGACGGCCUUCGGGUUGUAAACCGCUUUCGCCUGUGACGAAGCGUGAGUGACGGUAAUGGGUAAAGAAGCACCGGCUAACUACGUG